UACGUAGGGUGCAAGCGUUAAUCGGAAUUACUGGGCGUAAAGCGUGCGCAGGCGGUUUUGUAAGUCUGUCGUGAAAGCCCCGGGCUCAACCUGGGAAUUGCGAUGGAGACUGCAAGGCUUGAAUCUGGCAGAGGGGGGUAGAAUUCCACGUGUAGCAGUGAAAUGCGUAGAGAUGUGGAGGAACACAGAUGGCGAAGGCAGCCCCCUGGGUCAAGAUUGACGCUCAUGCACGAAAGCGUGGGGAGCAAACAGG
rnacentral:rRNA from 1 species